rnacentral:lncRNA from 1 species
GGGAGACUGCAUGGCCUCCAGCCACAGCAGGGAUGGUGAGCCCAUCAGUAAAUGGGGAUGCAAACACUGUGCUGUGCUUAAAAAGCAAGGGGUUAUUGCUGAUGGACAGGAAGGUUUUGCUCUUGGACCCAGGCUAAACUUAGGAAUCAGCAUUCAUGACAGCAAGCUCUCUUAUUUUGAUUUCCUGAGAGCAAUUGAGGAUGGCAGAGCAUCUGAAUACCAGCAGAAACAAAAGCAGGCUGCACCACCUGCAAGCUUUGCAGAGCUCAGCGUAGAAUAAACCCUAAUAAAGAUAAAGGAAACAGUUACAUAGUCUUAGAAUUUGUUGUAUAAGGCAGGCAUUAUGGUUUUAUCAGGCAAAACAAGCAUGUAGCAACUGAGGAUAAAGACAUUGGAUCAGAUGUGAGCAUAUAUAGUGGUUGCAGAAGUUAUCACCUGUCACCUGGGGCUCUGCAAGUGUCUGCAUUUAUGCUCUGGGCCACUUAUGAUUCUGACACAGACAGAUAAGGUGCAUUAGCUGUCAAGCAGCAUCUUUCCUGGUUUCCCCACCUGUAAAAUGAGAAC